GUGGUUUAAUUCGUUGCUACACGAAGAACCUUUACCUGGGUUUGACAUAUAGGUUGUAGGGAACUGAAAGGGACCGACCCUUCGGGGAGCCUAUACAGGUUGUUGCAUGGCUGUCGUCAGCUCGUGUCGUGAGAUGUUCGGUUAAGUCCGCUAACGAGCGCAACCCUCGUCGUAUGUUAUAUGUGUCAUACGAGACUGCCGGUAAAAAGCCGGAGGAAGGUGAGGAUGAUGUCAAGUCAGCAUGACCUUUAUAUCCAGGGCUACACACACGCUACAAUGGUCUGUACAAUGGGUAGCCAAGCCGCGAGGCGGAGCCAAUCCUGAAAGCAGGCCUCAGUUCAGAUUGCAGUCUGCAACUCGACUGCAUGAAGCCGGAGUUGCUAGUAACCGCAGGUCAGCAAUACUGCGGUGAAUACGUUCCCGGGUCUU
rnacentral:rRNA from 1 species